rnacentral:rRNA from 1 species
GAUGAACGCUGGCGGCGUGCCUAACACAUGCAAGUCGAGCGAUCUUCUUCGGAAGAGAGCGGCGGACGGGUGAGUAACGCGUGGGUAACCUGCCCUGUACACACGGAUAACAUACCGAAAGGUAUGCUAAUACGAGAUAAUAUGCUUUUGUCGCAUGGUAGAAGUAUCAAAGCUCCGGCGGUACAGGAUGGACCCGCGUCUGAUUAGCUAGUUGGUAAGGUAACGGCUUACCAAGGCGACGAUCAGUAGCCGACCUGAGAGGGUGAUCGGCCACAUUGGAACUGAGACACGGUCCAAACUCCUACGGGAGGCAGCAGUGGGGAAUAUUGCACAAUGGGCGAAAGCCUGAUGCAGCAACGCCGCGUGAGCGAUGAAGGCCUUCGGGUCGUAAAGCUCUGUCCUCAAGGAAGAUAAUGACGGUACUUGAGGAGGAAGCCCCGGCUAACUACGUG